UGGUAGAUGCACCCUGAUAACUCACUCCCCUAGUAGGCUAACACCAACUGGGGUUUUUUUAU
rnacentral:sRNA from 1 species